UACGUAGGGGGCAAGCGUUGUCCGGAUUCAUUGGGCGUAAAGAGCGUGUAGGCGGCCAGGUAGGUCGGUUGUGAAAACUGGAGGCUCAACCUUCAGAGGUCGACCGAAACCAUCUGGCUAGAGUCCGGGAGAGGAGAGUGGAAUUCCUGGUGUAGCGGUGAAAUGCGCAGAUAUCAGGAAGAACACCCGUGGCGAAAGCGGCUCUCUGGAACGGUACUGACGCUGAGACGCGAAAGCUAGGGGAGCGAACAGG
rnacentral:rRNA from 1 species